GGAUUAAGCCAUGCAUGUCUAAGUAUAAAUCGUAUACAGUGAAACUGCGAAUGGCUCAUUAAAACAGUUAUAGUUUACUUGAUAAUCGAAUUCAAUAUGGAUAACCGUAGUAAUUCUAGAGCUAAUACAUGCUGUUUAACCUAACUUUACGGAAAGGUUGUAUUUAUUAGAUAUUAAACCAGCAGCUUUCCAAGCUUCUGUGAUGAUUCAUAAUAACUGAUCGGAGUGAAGCAAGUUCUUCACUAAAUCAUUCAAGUUUCUGCCCUAUCACUUUGAUGAUAGUGUCUUGGACUACCAUGAGGAUCACGGGUACGAGGAAUUAGGGUUUGAUAUCGGAGAGGGAGCCUGAGAAACGGCUACCACUUCUAAGGAAGGCAGCAGGCGCGUAAAUUACCCAAUCUCAAUUCGGGGAGGUAGUGACAAGAAAUAAUAACUCGGGUAGAAUUUUCUAUUACGAGAUUAAAAUGAGAACAAUUUAAAAAUCUUAUCGAGGAACAAUGAGAGGACAAGUCUGGUGCCAGCACCCGCGGUAAUUCCAGCUCUUAUAGUGUAUAUUAAAGUUGUUGCAGUUAAAAAGCUCGUAGUCGAUCAUCUAGUGCUCGGCGGUGCGGCGCAAGCUUCGCUGCUCGAGUGCUAUCUGUUCGAGAACUUCAUCUGCCUUUGCUGGUUAGACGAUGCUGAUCGAACAUUUUCCUGAGAAAAAAUUAGAGUGUUCAAAGCAGACUAUUGCCAUGAAUAUUACAGCUUGGAAUAAUAGAAUAAGACUGAAGUCUCUUUUGUUGGUUAUGAACUUUAGUAAUGGUUAAUAGAAACAGUCGGGGGUAUUAGUAUUUAAUUGUCAGAGGUGAAAUUCUAUGAUUUAUUAAAGACUAACUUAUGCGAAAGCAUUUGCCAAGGAUGUUUUCAAUUGAUCAAGAACGAAAGUUAGGGGAUCAAAGACGAUCAGAUACCGUCCUAGUCUUAACUAUAAACGAUUCCGACUAUGGAUCGGAAGGGUCUUUUAAACCUUUUCGGCACAUUAUGAGGAAUCAAAGUCUUUGGGUUCCGGGGGAAGUAUGGACACAAGUCUGAAACUUAAAGGAAUUGACGGAAGGGCACACCAGUUGUGGAUUUUGCGGCUUAAUUUGACCCAACACGGGGAAACUUACUAGGGCAAGACUAAGGUUGGAUUGACAGAAUGAGAGCUCUUUCUUUCUUAGGGUGGUGGUGCAUGGCCGUUCUUAGUUGGUGGAGUGAUUUGUCUGGUUAAUUCCGUUAACGAACGAGACCUUAACCU
rnacentral:rRNA from 1 species